UACGAAGGGGGCUAGCGUUGCUCGGAAUCACUGGGCGUAAGGCGCACGUAGGCGGAUCUUUAAGUCAGGGGUGAAAUCCUGGAGCUCAACUCCAGAACUGCCUUUGAUACUGGGGAUCUCGAGUCCGGGAGAGGUGAGUGGAACUCCGAGUGUAGAGGUGAAAUUCGUAGAUAUUCGGAAGAACACCAGUGGCGAAGGCGGCUCACUGGCCCGGUACUGACGCUGAGGUGCGAAAGCGUGGGGAGCAAACAGG
rnacentral:rRNA from 1 species